GUGAGGAAUAUUGCGCAAUGGAGGCAACUCUGACGCAGCCAUGCUGCGUGCAGGAAGAAGGCGCUACGCGUUGUAAACUGCUUUUAACCGGGAAGAAACCCCAGGACGUGUCCUGGGUUGACGGUACCGGAGGAAUAAGCACCGGCUAACUUCGUGCCAGCAGCCGCGGUAAUACGAAGGGUGCAAGCGUUAUCCGGAUUCAUUGGGUUUAAAGGGUGCGUAGGCGGAGCGUUAAGUCAGUGGUGAAAUCCUGCAGCUUAACUGUAGACUUGCCAUUGAUACUGGCGCUCUUGAGUGCGCUUGAAGUGGGCGGAAUGUGCCGUGUAGCGGUGAAAUGCUUAGAUAUGGCACAGAACACCAAUUGCGAAGGCAGCUCACUAAGGCGAUACUGACGCUGAGGCACGAAAGCGUGGGGAUCGAACAGGAUUAGAAACCCGGGUAGUCC
rnacentral:rRNA from 1 species